rnacentral:tRNA from 1 species
ACCUCGGUAGCUCAGAUGGAUAGAGCGUCUGCCAUGUAAGCAGAAGAUCCCGGGUUCGAGUCCCGGUCGGAGCU